CUUACAUCUCUUCGGAGCAUUUUACGAGGUGCUGCAUGGUUGUCGUCAGCUCGUGCCGUGAGGUGUCGGGUUAAGUCCCAUAACGAGCGCAACCCUACCUUUAGUUGCCAUCAGGUAAUGCUGGGGACUCUAAAGGAACUGCCUACGCAAGUAGUGAGGAAGGCGGGGAUGACGUCAAAUCAGCACGGCCCUUACGUCCAGGGCUACACACGUGCUACAAUGGCCGAUACAGAGGGCAGCUACCUGGUGACAGGAUGCAAAUCUCCAAAGUCGGUCUCAGUUCGGAUCGGAGUCUGCAACCCGACUCCGUGAAGUUGGAUUCGCUAGUAAUCGCGCAUCAGCCAUGGCGCGGUGAAUACGUUCCCGGGCCUU
rnacentral:rRNA from 1 species